UACGUAGGGGGCAAGCGUUGUCCGGAUUUAUUGGGCGUAAAGAGCGUGUAGGCGGCCAAGCAGGUCCGCUGUGAAAACUCGAGGCUCAACCUCGAGACGUCGGUGGAAACCGUUUGGCUAGAGUCCGGAAGAGGAGAGUGGAAUUCCCGGUGUAGCGGUGAAAUGCGCAGAUAUCGGGAAGAACACCCGUGGCGAAGGCGGCUCUCUGGGACGGUACUGACGCUGAGACGCGAAAGCCAGGGGAGCGAACGGG
rnacentral:rRNA from 1 species